GCCUUGGCCUGCUCUACACAUAUAUAAUGGUGUAUAGAAGUGAUGAUCGAGCAGCUACACAUCACGUGUUUAUUGCAGAUCUGGACUUUUCUAUAUGAUAAUGAUGACCUGGAAGGACAUUAAAAAAAAUCUUUCCCAUUUUACUGUAUCGCCAGAUGUCUGAUGCUUUAUAAAUUAGGUGCCACUGCAUGGAGAUACCUCAAGAUUCUUCAGAGGAUAGUUAAACUUCACUUAGAAAUUGUAACCAUUA